GGCAGUUCUUGGGUGACGCACCCUGGAAUCAGGCUCCCUCCUCUCUGGUUCCAGAUGCAUCACCUGAGAACCUCA
rfam:Myotis davidii contig139578, whole genome shotgun sequence.